rnacentral:lncRNA from 1 species
GGGUCUUUUAAUUUGGGAUCCUUGGUUUAUGACCUUGAAAUUGAGGUCAAGGUCAUAGGUUAAUUGGACGUUCUAGAUUUUGACCUUUGCUUGAAAUUCAUAUUUAUAUAUCAUUUAGCCAUAGGAACUGACAUUUUCAACUGAAUUUUAAUAUUUUCAUAUCAAAAUAGAUCCUUAUUGGUGGAAAGACCUUCAAUUGUUCUUUGAACAAUUGGUUUUUAAUU